rnacentral:rRNA from 1 species
GAUGAACGCUGGCGGCGUGCCUAACACAUGCAAGUCGAACGAAGCACCUUACCUGAUUCUUCGGAUGAAAGUUUGGUGACUGAGUGGCGGACGGGUGAGUAACGCGUGGGUAACCUGCCCUGUACAGGGGGAUAACAGCUGGAAACGGCUGCUAAUACCGCAUAAGCGCACGAGGAGACAUCUCCUUGUGUGAAAAACUCCGGUGGUACAGGAUGGGCCCGCGUCUGAUUAGCUGGUUGGCAGUGUAACGGCCUACCAAGGCAACGAUCAGUAGCCGGUCUGAGAGGAUGAACGGCCACAUUGGAACUGAGACACGGUCCAAACUCCUACGGGAGGCAGCAGUGGGGAAUAUUGCACAAUGGGGGAAACCCUGAUGCAGCAACGCCGCGUGAGUGAAGAAGUAUUUCGGUAUGUAAAGCUCUAUCAGCAGGGAAGAUAAUGACGGUACCUGACGAAGAAGCUCCGGCUAAAUACGUG